UAUGUGUCUGUGGUACUAUGUAGUGUGUGUGAAUGAGUGACUGAGUCAGAAGGUUGUGAAUUCAGUGAGACGUCAUGAUGAACGUGAGCCAAGGCACAAUUUCCAAUUUCUCAUCCUCUCUUUCCACACUGACAGCUACUCAGUUAGUUAUUGAACGAGGAAGUCUGAAGCUCACAUCUUUACUGCAGUAAAUCCUGAAGAUACACCAGAUUUCAUCACAUUCAGAACGGCAGUGUCACGUCCUAGAGAAACCUCAUUGGUUCAAAAUCAUAAUUGUGUAUUAAACAUCACAUAAGUUCAGAUUGGUUGUAAUUGUGUCAAAUCAUUGUCUUUAAAGGAGAAUCAGGAGGAUGAAAAAGAGAAAUGACACACAGGAGUCUCAGAUGGUUGAUUCCAGACCUCAUCAUGACAGACACAAAGCUUGUGAUGUUGAAUUGAGUAAUCCUGUGUAUGGGAAUGUAACGGCUGAUCAGCUUGAUGAUUUUA